AUUUCAGGACCGAAGUGGGGAGACCAAAACAGGCUACAUAACGUUACUUCUAAAGCAGCUCAAAUAGCCAGCAGAAACCGUGAGAAUGGAAGUGAACCAGGCACGCACGAACAGAUGGUGCGAGAGGAUGGAGAUGGUUGCAAAACAAAAUAUCCCCACUUGGGUGCGCCAUAGCAUUGCAAUCCUUGACCUGCCGCCCGAAACCUGUCCUUUGAUGCAGUCUGUGAAUCCUGUGGUCCACACAGGUGGGUCACAGAACACCCUGACCAUGCACAGGUGAAACAAGUUCUUUGGAGCAGAGAGGGAGAAAGGACAGUUUGAAAAGAGUUUUACAUCUGCAGUAUUCCAAACCCGGUGCCUGAGGACAGCGUGAGCCGUGCAAUAGAGCCGAAUAAUGGUCUCACUCCCCCCUAUCUCAGAUAUCAUCUACUGCAGCCCUCAUCCUGCACAUACAACACCCCUUUUGCCAGUCACAUUCUGUUAAAGGUCCCCAAAGCGCGCACAUCCCUGGGUCGCUCGUCUUUCCAGUAUGCUGCAGCUAGCCACUGGAACAAGCUGCAACAAACACUCGAACUGGACAGUUUUAUCUCCAUCUCUUCAUUCAAAGACUCAAUCAUGGACACUCUUACUGACACUUGUGGCUGCUUCUCGUGAUGUAUUGUCUCUACCUUCUUGCUCUUUGUGCUGUUGUCAGUGCCCAAUAAUGUUUGUACCAUGUUGUCAUGUUGUGUUGCUACCAUGCUGUGUUGUCAUGUGUUGCUGCCUUGCUAUGUUGUGUUAGGUCUCUCUUUUAUGUAGUGUUGUGUUCUCUCGUUGUGAUGUUUUGUCCUAUUUUUUUGUUGUUAAAAUGUAAAAUCCCAGCAGGAGGCCUUUCGGUAGGCCGUCAUUGUAUAUAAGAAUUUGUUCUUAACUGACUUGCUUAGUUAAAUAUAUGUAAAAAAAAAAAUAUUAUAAUAAUAAACUGACAAACAGUAUUGCUCUUUUUGUGAAAUUACCUUGUUACAUUAAAUUUAACAUUGCCUACCUCAUGCCUUUUGCACACAUUGUAUAUAGAUUCUCUUUUUUCUACCAUGUUAUUGACUUGUUUAUUGUUUACUCCAUGUGUAACUCUGUGUUGUUGUCUGUUCACACUGCUAUGCU